GACACGCCACACUUAUUCAAAUGUAUUAAGAAUCGCCUGUAUGAUAAAGGUUGAUUGAAGAAUUGUGAUGAGAAUUAUGUUAAAUGGGAAUACUUCAAUCACCUUUACGACACUGAUGCUACUCAUGCAGGAAAUGGUACAGUAUGCCCAAAAAUAUCUAGAAGGCAUAUACAAUUAAAUAAUAUAGCCCAAAUGCGUGUUUUUUGCAACUCAGAUUUUCAGUAACUCUAUAGCUGCUGCUUUUAAAUUUUAUUCUCUACACAACAUAAAAAAACUCGAAGGCUGUGAAGCAACCAUUCAUUUUUGUUUGCAAAUGAACAAUAUAUUCGACGCAUUAAAUCGGAAACAACCAAACGAAGGCCUCUCACCAAAUUCAACGGAUUUUAAAGAUCUCUAAUACAACCGUGCCUAUACGACACAACGUUCCGGACAAAGAGUAGGGAUCAGUAGGGAUACAACAAGACACGGC